GACAGACGCUGGCGGCAUGCCUAACACAUGCAAGUCGAACGGACAGAACAGGGAAGCUUUUCGGAGUGGAACUGGAAAGUUAGUGGCGGAUGGGUGAGUAACGCGUGGACAACCUACCUUGUAAAGGGGAAUAACCUCGAGAAAUCGAAGCUAAUACCCCAUAAUAACCUUGCUUCGCAUGAAGUAAGGAGGAAAGGCGGCCUUAGCGCUGUCGAUACAAGAUGGGUCCGCGUCUGAUUAGCUAGUUGGUGAGGUAAAGGCUCACCAAGGCGACGAUCAGUAGCCGGCCUGAGAGGGUGAACGGCCACAUUGGGACUGAGACACGGCCCAAACUCCUACGGGAGGCAGCAGUGGGGAAUCUUCCGCAAUGGGCGAAAGCCUGACGGAGCAAUGCCGCGUGAGUGAAGAAGGCCUUCGGGUUGUAAAACUCUGUCCUUAUCGAAGAGAGAGUGUUGUAGUAACUGACAAUACUAGGACGGUAGAUGAGGAGGAAGCCCCGGCUAACUAUGUG
rnacentral:rRNA from 1 species